rnacentral:rRNA from 1 species
GACGAACGCUGGCGGCGUGCUUAACACAUGCAAGUCGAACGAAGUGGCGAACGGGUGAGUAACGCGUAAUCCACCUGCCCUUCAGAGGGGGACAACAGGUGGAAACGUCUGCUAAUACCGCAUACUGAUGGUGGGGAUUGCGUCUGGUUAGCUAGUUGGCGGGGUAACGGCCCACCAAGGCGAGGAUCAGUAGCCGGUCUGAGAGGAUGGACGGCCAGAUUGGGACUGAGACACGGCCCAGACUCCUACGGGGGGCAGCAGUGGGGAAUCUUCCGCAAUGGACGAAAGUCUGACGGAGCAAAGCCGCGUGAGUGAUGACGGCCUUCGGGUUGUAAAGCUCUGUUAAUCGGGACGCGGUACCGGAAUAGAAAGCCACGGCUAACUACGUGCCAGCAGCCGCGGUAAUUC